UACAGAGGUCCCAAGCGUUGUUCGGAUUCACUGGGCGUAAAGGGCGCGUAGGCGGCGGGUCAAGUCGAGUGUGAAAGCCCCGGGCUCAACCUGGGAAUUGCGCUCGAGACUGGUCUGCUUGAGUUCGGGAGAGGAGAGUGGAAUUCCCAGUGUAGAGGUGAAAUUCGUAGAUAUUGGGAAGAACACCGGUGGCGAAGGCGGCUCUCUGGACCGAGACUGACGCUGAGGCGCGAAAGCGUGGGGAGCAAACAGG
rnacentral:rRNA from 1 species